rnacentral:rRNA from 1 species
GAUGAACGCUGGCGGCGUGCUUAACACAUGCAAGUCGAACGGGAUCCAUCAGGCUUUGCUUGGUGGUGAGAGUGGCGAACGGGUGAGUAAUGCGUGACCGACCUGCCCCAUACACCGGAAUAGCUCCUAGAAACGGGUGGUAAUGCCGGAUGCUCCAGUUGAUCGCAUGGUCUUCUGGGAAAGCUUUCGCGGUAUGGGAUGGGGUCGCGUCCUAUCAGCUUGACGGCGGGGUAACGGCCCACCGUGGCUUCGACGGGUAGCCGGCCUGAGAGGGCGACCGGCCACAUUGGGACUGAGAUACGGCCCAGACUCCUACGGGAGGCAGCAGUGGGGAAUAUUGCACAAUGGGCGCAAGCCUGAUGCAGCGACGCCGCGUGAGGGAUGGAGGCCUUCGGGUUGUAAACCUCUUUUAUCGGGGAGCAAGCGAGAGUGAGUUUACCCGUUGAAUAAGC